rnacentral:rRNA from 1 species
GCACAAGCGGUGGAGCAUGUGGUUUAAUUCGACGCAACGCGAAGAACCUUACCAGGGCUUGACAUCCCCUGACCGCGUAUGAAGUACGUUUUCACCCUCGGGUGACAGGGAGACAGGUGGUGCAUGGUUGUCGUCAGCUCGUGUCGUGAGAUGUUGGGUUAAGUCCCGCAACGAGCGCAACCCUUAUUGCUAGUUACCAUCAUUAAGUUGGGGACUCUAGCGAGACUGCCAGUGAUAAACUGGAGGAAGUGGGGAUGACGUCAAAUCAUCAUGCCCCUUAUGACCUGGGCUACAAACGUGAUACAAUGGCUGAAACAAAGGGCAGCGAAGCAGUGAUGUGAAGCGAAACCCAAAAAAGCAGUCUCAGUUCGGAUUGAAGUCUGCAACUCGACUUCAUGAAGUCGGAAUCGCUAGUAAUCGCGAAUCAGAACGUCGCGGUGAAUACGUUCUCGGGGUUU